GUGGCUUUAUGAUGACUUAUAAUUUGCGUUCUAUAGUGAUUCAUUCCGAAACACGCCUAGUUUCAUUAAGGAAGUUUCACAGCAUGAGACCAAUUAUUACACUGAUAUUGCU
rfam:Pichia sorbitophila strain CBS 7064 chromosome M complete sequence.